CCGUGUUCUGGAGACGACUGCUGGGCCUCCUGCCUGGCCGUCCAGGGCUGGCCGCGCUCCUGGGACGCCUGUCCGACCGCCUCGGCAGGAACCGGGACCGCCAGCGCAGGAGGUCACCAUGGCUGUUAUUGGCUCCCUUGCUGUCCCCAGCUGUUCCCCAGGUCACCUCCCCACCUUGCUGCCUGUGUCCAGAAGGCGUGCACCGGUUCCAGUGGAUCAGAAACCUGGUUCCAGAAUUUGGAGUCUCCAGUUCUCAUGUCAGGGUGCUUUCUUCCCCGGCAGAGUUUUUUGAGCUCAUGAAGGGGCAGAUAAGAGUAGCCAAGAGGCGGGUCGUGAUGGCAUCCCUCUACCUGGGGACAGGUCCUUUGGAACAGGAGCUGGUGGACUGCCUGGAAAGUACUCUAGAAAAGUCACUCCAAGCAAAGUUUCCUUCAAAUCUCAAGGUCUCCAUUCUCUUAGACUUCACGCGGGGCUCACGAGCGGCCUAUGUGCACAUCGAGCGACAGUUCUACAGUGAGGUGUGCAGCCUGGGACAGCAGGAGCGGGUCCAGCUUCAGGAGUACUGGCGGAGGGGCUGGACGUUCCAUGCCAAAGGUCAGUUCACCGGGACCUGGAGGCCCAGAUUGCGAUCGUGACGGAGAACGAGGCCCUGCAGCAGCAGCUUCACCAGGAGCAAGAGCAGCUCUACCUGAGGUCAGGUGUGGUGUCCUCUGCCACCUUC
rnacentral:sRNA from 1 species